rnacentral:tRNA from 1 species
GGAUAGCUCACUGGUAGAGCACCGGUCGCGAUAACGGGAGGUCCGUGGUUCGAUUCCCGUCC